UACGGAGGGUGCGAGCGUUAAUCGGAAUUACUGGGCGUAAAGCGUGCGUAGGCGGUUUGUUAAGUCAGAUGUGAAAGCCCUGGGCUCAACCCAGGAACUGCAUUUGAUACUGGCAAACUAGAGUUCGGUAGAGGAAGGUGGAAUUCCACGUGUAGCGGUGAAAUGCGUAGAGAUGUGGAGGAACAUCGGUGGCGAAGGCGGCCUUCUGGGCCUGAACUGACGCUGAGGUACGAAAGCGUGGGUAGCAAACAGG
rnacentral:rRNA from 1 species